GGGUCUUAAAGAUCGAGAAGUAGAGAAAUUGAGAGAUGCAUCACCAACGAUUUUUUUUUUUAGCAAGACUUCUGUGUUUCUCUAAUCAACAACAAAUUACAGUCCCUAAUAAACUCACCAACAUAACCACAGUUUCUGAAGAAGACGAUUCAGCUGGUCUCGCUCCGAUUAACUCACUUCAUCCACCCUCUUAACUCUUUCUCACUCGUCUAAUUUUCCCUUUUCAAGGUUUCUCUCGGUUUCUCUUAGACAAGUUGGGAUGCAGUUAACUAUCAAAAUUCAAUCAAAAUUUGCAGAUUGGGAUUUUGCUUUUAUUGGUGUCCAAUCAAAAUUUGUAUCUAAACUGACAAUCUGCUAAUGUUCUUCGUAUAGCAGUGUGGUUGAUCCAGUCAAUUGUGCAAGUUAAGGCUCGAUUGUAAAUCUUAGCGAUGUGAUGCUUCGGUUAAGCGAACCCUUUUUAUAUGCAAAUUUUACCGACAAAAUUAACGCAAUGUAUGUGUUUGAUAAUACUCCUUUAGAUUUCAGAAGAUUAACUACACUGCAAGCAUCAUCGGAAGGCAUGACGUCAUGGCAUGAUAAUCUUAAAAUGGAUGGCUCUGACUGGACAUCUGAUGAAGAUAACCGGAUGUUGAAAUCUCUUGAAGUUCUGGCAGCGCUGUUGGUUUACCUGCUAGCCUCUUUAAAGCUAAGCCAAUGACAACGUGUGGUGGGACGACUCAAUACAAAGAACCAUAAUGACCCUCUACUGGCAGAGAUACAAGAUCUGCCAAAGAUUAACAAAGGAGAAAGAGGAGAUGCUCUUAAUGCAAAGCUUAAUGAUCACAUAAGGAAAAAGAACGAACAAUAACGAUCAAACCAGGUAAAAAGAUUCCAACUGGGGAUUGGGCCACUGAGUUCCAAACUGAAAUAGGAAUCAUCGUCCGGAAGUUUGCACUGUGGUCGACUCGCCCCAAAUGGAAGUCAAUUGGAAAAUCAUAUCUGAGGAAAUUUUAUGAUCUCAUAUUGGUAAUCAUAUAUUUUUUUUGAAUCAUUUUAGUGUCCCUACUACUCUGUUCUUAUAAUGUCCCUACUGUUAUGUUCUUCUUGCACAGACUACGGAUUUAUUAGUUAGAACUCUCUUUGCGUAGUUUCUUUGUUGCUGGUGCUAACAGAAAUUUGUUUGGUGAUUGUGAACUGAGGAAAAAUUCAUUAUUGAUCUACAUGUAGUACGCAUUCAGAAGGCGGUCAACACAAUGCUAGCAAAUGAGUACAUGCAGUUUAGAUGUACACUUCACAAACACUACCUGUAGUACAAACAAAAUGGAACAGAACGGGAAAACACGCAUUAUCAGGUUAAGCAGGAGGAUUGGGAGAAACUUUUCACUUGGUUUGAGUCUGAUGAGUUUCAGACAAGUAUCACUCAAGGAAAAAAAAAAGUCGAGAAGCGAAUACAACCAUUCAUUGUACAGGGUCAAAACCUUUUACCCGCUAUAGAGAGGAAAUGUGUGAUCCAGAAACAGGUGAAGUUGUUGAACAAAUUGAAUUCUACAAGUUAACCCACUUCAAAAAUGAUGUUUGGACGUGUCAUACAUCGGAGGAAAACUAUGGUAAAAUGCUUGAACUCCGAGCUGCGCCUACACCUGAAGGUUCAACACCCUUGACCGAUGCUCAAAUAUGUGAGGAAGUGCUAGGUGUAAGAUCCGGUUAUGUCAAGGGUCUUGGUCAUGGGUAUGAAAAACCUAGCUCGUCGAGCAUUGAAUAUAAUGCGGAGUUAGGCGAAGCUCUUAGGAGGGCAGAUGAAGCAGAGAAGAGAAAUAAGGAACUUGAAGAAAGAGUUGAUGAGCAAAAUCGCACAAUACAGGGGCUGGUAACUGACACAAUGGAUAUAAGAAGAAUGUCCCUUGAAAUGCAGGGAAAUCGUCAAAGUACUCCUGAGAACCGUCAAAGCACCUCUUGAGAUGAUUGUUAGGGGACCACCACCAGUUGAGAUGUGCACAUCUCUGUUUCUUUUUUUAGCUUUAUGUUUCACUUUUGAAAUUUGUAGUGGUAUCGUUUUUUCAGUUUUAAGUUUCUUAGUUAGUGGUGUUAUUUAAUGAACAAUGUAGAUGUUUUCUAGUAAUGAUUUGCUUAUUUUU